UACGUAGGGCGCAAGCGUUAUCCGGAAUUAUUGGGCGUAAAGAGCUCGUAGGCGGUUUGUCGCGUCUGCUGUGAAAACGCGAGGCUCAACCCCGAGCCUGCAGUCGAUACGGGCAGACUAGAGUGCUGUAGGGGGAGACUGGAAUUCCUGGUGUAGCGGUGAAAUGGCGCAGAUAUCAGGAGGAACACCGGUGGCGAAGGCGGGGUCUCUGGGCAGUAACUGACGCUGGAGGAGCGAAAGCGUGGGGAGCGAACAGG
rnacentral:rRNA from 1 species